rnacentral:rRNA from 1 species
UAGGGAAAGUUGAAAAGUACUUUGAAAAGAGAGUGCAAGAGAACGUGAAACCGGUGUAAUGGAAGCAGAUGGAGUUGACGUAUCUGGUGCGUAUUCAGUUGUUGGUCGUGGCAAUUGCUGUGCUUGUCGUUCCGCAAGGUCGGCGGUGUAGUAUUGUUGUUGCGGCUUGCGAUGCAUUUACGUACGGAGUGCGCCGAGUUGCGUGGCGGUGUUAGUCGAGACGUUUCGAGAGGACAUGGCUUCGGUUGUGAAACCUCGGUGCGUGGAGGUUAGUUGCUGCUGCGUAAUUUUGUGGAGGUGCGGGUUUUUCGCGAGUUUUGGCGUCGAUUUGGUCGGUUUGUGUUGUACGCAUGCGUGCGGCGCUUAUGGGCUAGGUCGGUGUUGGAGUUUGCCCUGUGCUCUUCUCGGUGUAUAGUCAAUGACCCACCUGACCCGUCUUGAAACACGGACCAAGGAGUUUAUGGUAUACGCGAGUCAUUGGGCUUGUAAACCCAAAGGCGUAAUGAAAGUGAGAUCUUAUUGGUUUUAAUGUGAUCGGCUGUUGUUUCGACGGCGGCCGAGCAACAUUGCCCCGUUUCGAGGACUUGUCCUGUUGCGGAGGUUGAGCGUAUGCUAUGAGACCCGAAAGAUGGUGAACUAUGCCUGAACA